GCUGCGGGGCGUGAUGGCUGCCGCGGCGGACUGAAGCCGGGCCUGGGACGCUGAGCACGAGAGCCGCCGGCGGAAUCGCCCAGCCGCGCAGACUCUCGGGGCUGGGGGGCUUCCCCGAGAAGACCCGGCAGCGUGGGGAAGCAAGGCGGACGCCCCGGGACGCACGCGUGGACGAUGAGGCCGCGGCAUGGACUGCAAACCACUGCUUUGCUGGAAAAAGCUGGUCCAGGAGUUGCUAAGCUUGGCAUUCGUAAAGAACUAAAGAGGCUGAGUUUAAAGUUAAAGAAGAUGAUUUAUUUGAAGAUGGAGAAAGAGAGAGAUGACAGCUACUCUGAAUGAGAAUGAUACCAGUAUUAUUUUAAUUACAAUAUUACCUACAUUACAAUAAAUAUUACUUAAGGCAUGAUUUCUUCUUCAA